rnacentral:rRNA from 1 species
UACGGAGGGGGCUAGCGUUGUUCGGAAUUACUGGGCGUAAAGCGCGCGUAGGCGGACCUGCAAGUCGGGGGUGAAAGCCCGAGGCUCAACCUCGGAACUGCCUUCGAUACUGCGGGUCUCGAGUCCGGGAGAGGUGAGUGGAAUUCCUAGUGUAGAGGUGAAAUUCGUAGAUAUUAGGAAGAACACCAGUGGCGAAGGCGGCUCACUGGCCCCGGUACUGACGCUGAGGCGCGAAAAGCGUGGGGGAGCAAACAGG